ACCAGCCUCACCAUGUCUACACCCCUCUCCACAUCCCCCUUCCUGAUAUCCUUGCUCUCCGUGAUUAACCAUGCCUGAAAGCUUACCCCUUGCCACUAGACUGCUUCAACCUUUCUCCUUCUUUCAAACUCUUUUUUGACUCUCCUGUCAUCAGUAUCUCUCUUCACGUGUUGUGUCAAUUUGCUUUUCUUCCCCAUGAGAUGAGCUGGGAAAAUAGCAAUGACACCCAGCUGUGGCUGGGUGAGCCUUUCCUCCGCUCAGCUGGACUCCCUGUGUGUGAACAAAUGCAGGGCACAACAGAAGGGCGGCCGUGGUUUUCAAAUGUCCCCACCCAGGAGUGGAUCCCAAAGUCAUUUUAGUGGAUUGCAACCAACAGUGAAAAAUAAAUAGAACAGAACAUACUGCAGGGCAUCCCCCAUGGGAAGGCCCAUAAAAACAAAACCCAGAGAAUUUGUCCGGUGGAAGCAGAGUCCAGCCAGAUUUGGAAAUCUACCAUCUUUUUUGGUGAGAUCAUCAGAUGCUACCACUUAAAGUGCAACAGAACAUGAGUCUCAUCCCUGUGGACUGCAGCCAGUCGAGUUCCAACUCAUCCCACGCACCCCCAGUCGCCGACAGGGAUGGCCAAGCCUGGAGUUACUGGCAGUAAAAGGAUGUUUGUGAUGCUAAAGCCGGCAAAGCACACGCAGGCACAGCAUAAUGCCCGGCACGUAGUGAGCGCUCUGUAAGGUCAGCAGCUGUCAUCAUCACUUAAUACUGACCAGCACGAGACGGCCAAGCCAGCGGCGGCAGCGCUUGAACUCGAACCAAGGUCUUGGCAUCUUCCCGCCGCAGCGGCCUCUGCUCACAGCAACUCCGCUCUCCUCUGAGAAGGGUAACUGGGGGCCUAAACAGCUAUGUCAUACUUGAAGUUGCAUCCACAAAGCUUCAGUUGGGACAAGCCCUACCCUCCUUUAAAAAGCAAGGUCCCGGGCCAGGCGCAGUGGCUCACACCUAUAACCCCAGCA